GCAUAUCACACUCUGAAGAUUCAGUCUAGAGCAGAUUUUCUCGGCUGUGCCCCAGAGGACUUUUCUGGACUAACUUGGUACACAGAUGAGGAUCAGCAGACCAUGAGGAACCAAGAUAAAGAAAAGAUGCUGAGACAGCAAGAACCCUGCAGUGUGGGAGGUGAUAUUUGAAACAUAUAUAACUAACAGAAGAUACAUAUAAAGAAUAUUUUAAAAAAUGACAAAGUUUUAAAAAUACAGACAACCUAAUAAAGAAGUAUGAAGAAGACUUGAAGGCACUCCACAAAAGAUACUAUUCAAAUGAAAUAUUUGAAAACAUAUUUAACACAAUAACUAAUCAAGAAAUGGCCAGUAUUAAGAAGACUGAGGGGUGCCUGGUGCCUCAGUUGGUAUGACCAAGAAGGAUUUGAAGCCAAGCCCUCAGACUGGUUUCCUAAAUGAAGAGUGAGUUCCCACACCUGGAGGAACAAGUAUCCCUGUGGUCAGAGAUGAGCAAUGGAGAAAUCUGCUCAGGCUGCUCCAAGGGAACAAUUUUGACAAGAAACAUAAUUUAGAAAGAAAUCUACAAAAGAUGAACCACACAUUCUGGUUCUAUAAAAUCUCGGCUGAAUGGGUAAGUGCAGAAUUUCUUAAAAACUCGAUUAAAAUGGCUUGAAAAGAAUUUACUAACAUUGGCUAUUGUAAUUCCAACCAAGUCACCAUUAUAUGCCUCAUUCUUUUAGAAUGUAGUAGAAUUGUGGUGGAUUUUUUAUGCAUUAAGUGUUGGAAAAAAAGACUGAAUUGAAAUAUUGAAUACAUGUGACCUGAAUUGUAACCUUGGAUUCUUCGCCAAUGUGGACAAGUUACUUAAUCAUGGGGCUCAUUACUUUAUUUUUAUGGUAUUGGUUGAUUUAUCUGUAUAUUUCAAAAGUUGGAAUGUAAGGACCCUAAUACUCUUUGUAAAGUUUUAAAAUACAAGUUUAGAUGUUUCAGAAUUCUUUCUUUUCUUCCAAUUUUAAAUAAUCUCCUUUCAUGCACAGCUUGUAACAUAGUGAUAUUUGAUUUUUUUUAUCACUAAGAGAUGGGAAAGAGAUGUGUGUAGUUGGAAAUGUGAUUGACCUUAGGCAUAGGAAGACUUCACAGCAACCUCCAAUUUCAUCAUUAGUGGUUCAUCCCUCAGUGUUAAGACAUGACAUAUCCAUUAAGACCCUGGUUCAACUACAGAUACAUAUGGGAGAUGUUGAACAUGGAAUAAUUAAAGUCUACCAUAAAUUAAUUUACCAGGAUAACUAGCUGGUUCCUAAAGACAUGACUGUGGGACACUUAGAUUUUAUUCUGGCAUAGUCACUUGGGAUAUACUUAGACGUAAGACCUGGCUACAUGUUAACAUGACAGAGGGUACACAUAUCAAUAAAACGGAGGCUUGCAUUAGGGGGACUUGGUCAUUGUGUCCUGGUCAUUUGUCUUGGUUUACACCUGUGCCCAAGUAUCUUACCUUAUUAUCCUAUUCCCAAUCUUGCUUUCUUCUAAAAUUCUCUCCCUGCCAUUUCCAGGGUGCUCCUUCUGAAACAUAGAACAGUUUAAUAAGCAAACUCUGUUGGAUGGAGACUUUAGGAAAACAUCAUAUGGAAGCCAAGGAGAACGCAAACCGAGGUGAACGAAAUCACCCUAAAGCAAUUAAAAUUAUGAGCCUUGGAUUAUAAUUUAUUGCAAAUGGUACAUUUGGGGCCUCAGGAGUUUUUCAUAGUAAGGGUCAGAUUGGUAGCCAGAGGGAUAUAGAAGGGAAAACUCCCCAUAUUAAUACUCCCUUCCUUCAAAAGAAGAAUAAAUAAGAUUUAAAAGCAAGUUUUAUGAUGUUGCAGAGAAUAUGUGUAUUUCUUAGUUUGGGAGACAAUCUCCAUAGUCCAUCCUACCCCAUUCUCUGUCUUGCUACUCUCCUUCCAUGACAACCAUCUUGAAUCACUUGAAUUUCCUCCAACAGAAUGUCCUUGUUGCCUCUGUGCCUUAGUACAUGAUAUUAGAGUUGCCUGAAUAACUCUUCCCACCUUUUCCUUUUAUACCUCAUUAGCUCUUUACUAAUUUUUAUAAUUACAGCUAAAAUAUCUUCUAUUUGAGGAUUCCUUGGAUUCACCAAAACGGAGUAAUCAUUUUUCCUUUGUCCCAUUUCUUUAUAUGAUACAUACUUUAAUUACUUCAAUUAUACACUUUAUUGCAAAUAGGUGAUUAAAUAUCUGCUCCUUGAUGACAGAACCUGUGUCAUAUUUCUCUUAACAUUCAUAGUUCUUUGCAUUAUGUGGGAUAUGUAUCAGAGACUCAGUAAAUCUUUGCCUAGUACAAGUGACCGAGUUUUGAAGGUACCCGUUUUAUAACUGUCAGUGAUAAGAGAACUUAUAUUUCUUAGUUUAACAUUGAGGAAUAACUGAUGAGGGAUUCAAAUUACUCACUUUAUUAUUUUCUUUACUCUCCUGACCUUUAAAAUGUGAUUAAAAAUUCAGACACUUUAGAAUAUUCAUAUGUUUCCAAAGUUGGCAAUUAGACAACUGUUAAAUUGGUCCCACUGUGUGCCAUAGACUGGAUUCCCUGGGAAACAAAAGCUGAGGGGGAAAUUUCUAUGCAAACUAUUUAUUGCAGAAUGCUACUCUGAACAAUUCCUGUGAGGAAAGAGAGAAGUCGAAUGUGUAGAGACAGAAGUUGAAAUAUGGUGCAAUUGCACCAAGGCCUUCGUUCAUCUCAAGGGGAAUUCUAGAGCUUGUAUGAACAUUCAGAGAUGUCUGAAGUGGAGGCCAAGGGGCCAUGCUUCCACAUAGAUCAGUCCUUUGAUUGGGAUACUCCAGAGAAGGAGUGUAAUCCUGGGUGAGACCACAUCCUCCUCUGAGGACAAUUCGUAGAGAGGUCUAAGUUGUGACAUCUCAGCAGCCAACACUCCCAGCAGCUGGAGAGUGCCUCAGCUGUGGAAGGCAGAUUUGGGAGGUAAACCACAGCAUUUCCUAUUGUGCCGUUCUUAGAGUUCUUCUAAUUAAUGAAUGUUUGGCUAGUUCUUUACCUGGGCCUCAGGUAAUGAAGUUGAUGAAUUCUAAUGAGUAGGUAGGACUAGCUGGUAUUGGAAGCUCUUUCCAUUCCUUCUACAGUGCAGUUCUCUGCUACUCUUCAACUCUUUGUUACUGUAGCCACUGGCUUUUAUCUUAUUUUUAUGAGCAGCAGCUUCACAAAAAUAAUUGAAAAAGGUAAUCAUUUAGAACCACACUAAAGCAGAUAGCUCACAAAUAAGUACAAUUAAGCUAUUGUGUUUAUUUACAGGCUGCUGUUAAGAUAAUUAAAGAAGGAAAGUAAUAUUGUGUUUAGACAGAAACAGUGGGAGGAAGAGGUUGGGCUUGUAGAACAAAUUAAGCCACAGAAUAUGCUUUACUGAAAAAUAUGACUCUUAUCAACAUAUGUUUUCACUUAACUGCACUGACUAAAGCAAUUUUAAAUGAUAGUGACUCCUUCUGGCUCUUUAUAUCCAUCACUUUCUUGUUCUCUCUGCAACAUUUUUAAUAAGCAAACUCUGUUGGAUGGAGACUUUAGGAAAACAUCAUGUGGAAGCCAAGGAGAACGCAAACCGAGGUGAACGAAAUCACCCUAAAGCAAUUAAAAUUAUGAGCCUUGGAUUAUAAUUUAUUGCAAAUGGUACAUUUGGGGCCUCAGGAGUUUUUCAUAGUAAGGGUCAGAUUGGUAGCCAGAGGGAUAUAGAAGGGAAAACUCCCCAUAUUAAUACUCCCUUCCUUCAAAAGAAGGAGAAAUAAGAUUUAAAAGCAAGUUUUAUGAUGUUGACAUAGGAGCUGUGUGUGUGUGUGUGUGUGUGCAUAUGAUUUGCUUUAUUUAUUUUGCUCUAGGCAUUAUUUAUUCCAUUUAACCCAUCCGUUUCAUUAGAAACACUACUAGAGCAGUCUUAUAUUGUCAGUGCUAAACUCUAAUUGGAGAUCAUAACAGGUCCCAGAGGAAUCUAGAUGUAUGGUGUCUCUAAAAUUGUUGUUUUAAAUGUAUGUCAGUUUUUCUUUUCUCAGUCAUAUCUUUCCACCACUGUAAAACUUUGUGUGUGUGUGUAUGUGUAAAUAAUAAUGUAUUUUAAAGUGUCUCUGUAAAGACAUCUCUAUGUUCAUCUUAACUACAUUGCCUCAAGACCUGUCUCAGCAGAGUCUCAUUUAUAAAAGAAAAUACAAGUCGGAAAUUAAAAAUAAAAGGCUUGAAAGGAAAGGUGUAUUUUACACAAAAGUGGAAAAACAGAAAAAUGCUUGGCAUGACACAUGGUAAAUUGUCCUAAUUUCUCCCUUCUCAUCAGAGUCCCCAAAACCUAUCUGUCACUGGAGCUGCUCCCCAAGUAGCUGUCAAUCCUUCAUUUCCAGUGUCCUCCCCAUCCUGGUCUCUGCUGGCUCUCCUGUCUCCUCCCACUCUUCUCUCCUAACUGUGGGUUUUAUUCCAUUCUGACGUACACAUUCCAGGCAAUUCCAUUUAGCCUUUUUCUUUUUGUUGCAACUCUUUCCAUCAAGCAAGACAAUAAAAGGCAAAGAAACCUGCUAAUGAAAUCCACAUUAUACCACAAAUAGAGUGCACAAGACAGGGUUUUGAGUAACCAAAUAUUGCUAUUUCAGUAUCUAUUGCAUAUAAUUUUGCCUGCUGUUAGUAUCCUACAAAUUUUACACUAAUUAGCCAUCCAGUGUAAAGGCCAAUAAAGGAGAAUUAUAUUUUCAAAAUAUCUUUCAGAGAAGAGAUGGUGUGUGAGGAUAUCCUAUGGGUUGGUUACAAUAGGAUGAUAGAACAUUUCCAGAAAGCAUCCAUAUUAAGGAAGAUUUCUAAGAGCAGAUCUGGAUGGUUGAGUUAAUGUGGAAGAGAUGGCCACAGUGCUUUUCCAUCUGCAAAGAUUAUCCUCAUAAUUGAUCCUACUUCCUCUAGAAUGGACUUACUGAACUGACUAGUUUAGAUGUAUAUAUUUAAAAUUCUCAACAUAUGUUUUAUAUAGUUCCUUUUACAAUAUUGGAAUAAACCAAUUUUUUAGUCUUAGCUGAUGCCAUCUUUCCUUCUGUUUAAGUAUGUCUCAUUUAUCUCUUCUCUCUGUCAUAAAAUUUAUUUUAUUUGUUUCUGUCUCAGUGGUCUUUGAACUGUUAUCCUCUCUCAUAGAUGAGGACAAUUAAAUUCAAAAAAGUUAAGGGCACAUUGUUCAGUAUACUCUAGAAUAGCUGAGCAAAGUUACUAAAUUGUUGUUUUUAAAUCUUCAAAUCUAGUACUGUGUUCAUAAUACCUCAGAAUUCCAUUCAAAAGUGCAUAACCAGUACAUAAGCCACAAGAAUAGGCUGUGACUAAAUGUUCCACAUAAAAGAAGUAUGGGAGUUGAUGGAAUUGGUAUGGGAGGUGGGGAAGCUGAAUAAAGAGACUUCUCACAUAUAUAGCAUUUCUCCCUGUAGUGGAGAUGGUUUUUGAAGUGUGGACUGCCUUUAACAUAAAAUAAACAGAAGGUUUACAUAACAGGUUUAUUUCCGAUGCAUCAAGCACUGUGGCAUCUGCACAUCAGGGUGGAGGUAGAGGGCCCUUUAAUCCAAUACUGCUGGUCUUGUCAGGACUGUGAAGCAGAUGUGUUCUCAUAUUUCCUGCUUCGAGAACUGGGUCUAGUUGUAUGGUAGGAAUUUUGGAACCAUAUACAUACAUGUGCUAUCAAAUGAUUUCUGUAUCUCAAACUGUUUUUAUCCCCAAUGUUCUUUAAAAUUUUACAUCUGCUUGUGGCUAGAAAAUGUAUUUCAAGAAAUAUUUGUCUCCAUUCCAGCCCAUUCCCUCAGUUCUCUGGCAUUAAUUCUCCCUUCCUUCCAUGGUACUUUUUCAUGAGAUAGGAUCAAAAGCCUUUUCCUUUAUUGCUCUUGGCAUCUGGAGGAAACUUCUUGCAUUUCUCUGCAUCAUUGACGCUAUCUCUUCUUCUUUUCAUAUAGUUCUUGAAAGUCUCUUCUCUCUUGCCUAAAGCUCUCUUAAUUUUCUUCUCCCUUUGUGGUUAUUUAACUGUGUAAUUGUAUUACUUAAGUUUAUAAAUCAUUUUGAGAUUCUGUGUAAGUCACAGUGUGAAUAAAAUGCUCAUUGAAUUGGGUUUGUGAGUUCAAUGGAAAGUUGUACUUAAACAGAAGUUGCAGUAAGUUGGAUUAUUUCCUGAUCUUUAAUGUUUGCAAUUUAAACUAACAUGGUACAUGAAAGGAAAAAUUGCUCCGACAUUAUCGACCUAAACUUCUUUAUUUUGCAUAUACAAUUGAUUCUUCAUCAAACAUGUUAACUGUCCUCCUCCUUACUUUAGUGAGUUCUUCUAACCAUUGUAAUAUAUUUUAUGUUAUUCGGAAACAGCUUGUUAUGAUAUUACAUAACAUUAGUUUCCAAUUUACUGAGUCAUAUAUAAUCCAUAGUAACAAUGAUAAAUAGUUUGCUGUUUAUUCUGGUGUUACUUUUAGGGUUAUUUCCUGUUAUGGAUACUACUAGUUGUCUACCCAUUAUCUGUUUCCUCUGGUUUCCUGAUCAGCAGAAUUUCCAUUUGCUCAAGGAGCAAGGUGACCAGCUGCUCCCUACAUUCUUUGGCAGUUAGGUGUGCCUAGUAACGGGUUCUGGUCAAUGAGCUAGAAACAGAAAUUGCUUGGGAGAGGUGUUUGAAAAAAUGUUUUAAAAGGGACAAAGUCAUUUGACUUCUGCCUGGUGCAGUUUGCCCUUUGACCUUUCCCAUUCUUAUUCUUUUUCAUUCUACCUGUGGAGAAAGAAAACUAAUGCCUAUAGAUUCAGAAAUUAGGCUGUGAGCCUGAGGAAAACAAUCACAUACUAAAAAUGGUAGAGCUGAAAUAAAGAAAAAAUCUGGGUCACUGGUGACAUUAGGGAUCUGCCAUACCAACUUUGGACAACUUACCUGAAAACUUCUUAAUAGAUGAGAAAAGAUCACCCCUAAUUCUUUUAGGCGAACAGUUAGGUUUCAGUUACACAUAUCGGCAUGUAAAAUUCGAGUAUUAUAUUGUCAUAAUUGGGACAGGUUAAGGGCUCUACUCAAAUUGAGCAACAUAGGAGACAGAUAAUAUCUUACUUGAGGAGACUGCCCUGACCUCUUUGAAUCUCCACAACCUAUCAGGUCUUCGUUGAAUACUUUUACUAUGCUUUAGUGGCACUGUUGCUUACCUCUGUCAUAUGCUUUAUUAUAUAGAUUUAUAGCUGCUCCUUUGACUUUCGUCACUUCUUAGAUCAGAUUGCCUCCACCAGCUGGCAGCUGGUGUCACUUGGAAAUUGGGCUAGAGCAUUAUAUUCCCAAAUUGGAAUAUAUUGCCUACAAAAGCCAAAGAGGUCUACUUAGAUAUUAUGCUUUUUUCUUAGUAAUGGAAGAUGCAAGUGGCAAUAAUUUGUCCUUUCAUUUGUCCUGUUAUGUCCAGAAGCACUAGAUGUUUUUCAAGCUUAUAUGUUUUGAGAGAGAAAGAAAGCGCACAAGAGAGAGCGAGCACAUGAGUGGGGGAGGGACAGAAAGGGAGAGAGAGAGAACCCCAAGCAGGCUCUACACUGCCAGCACAGAGCCUGAUGCAGAGCUUGAAUUCACCAACCAUAACAUCAUGACCUGAGCUGGAGUCAAUAGCUGGGUGCUUACCUGACUGCGCCACCCAGGUGCCCCGGUAGUACUAGAUUUUUAAAGAUUAUGCUUUCCUCCUUCAAUCAGUAGAUCACGGGUCUGAAAAUUGGCUCACUACCAGCAACUUGGUAAAGGAUUGAGACUUGUUGGGGUGAUGGCAACCCUUAACCUUCUGACAAUCUAUUUGACUGCCCAUCUAUCGUGACCAUGGGGCACAGUGUUUUAUUACUUAUUUUGGUAACUUUCUUCGAUCCAAGUUCUCAUGGUGUAGGUUCAGAGAGUUCAAGGUAUUAUAGAACCUCAGUGUUUUGAAUUUAUCAUCCUAUAUAUACUCAAUUCUAUGUUUUAGGGUCCCUAUCUUUCUCCACCCAGGACAAUGAUCUUAACAGACCAUACUUGCUGGGGCAGGGAUUUCAACUUUCCCUGGAGCUAUGAAACUCUAGUAAUUAUGUCCUGGGCCUGACCCUCAGCUUUUUUUGGCCUGCGGUUGCAGGAGAUGAGAGUUUCGUUAUGCUGUUCAUUACGCUGCCACGGAGCUACUCUAAUUUUCACACUUUACCUUCACUUGGUGAUUCAACAACCUGAACUUUUCAGUCUUUCUCAAUAUUCCUGGGUCAUUCAGCAAAGGUCACCAGAUUCCUAUUGCCUAUAUGGUUAAUAUUUUGUAUAUACUCUUAAAAGCCCACGAUACUGUAUUGGCUAGUAUCGUUUCUUUUACCAGUAUCCUAUCCCAGCUUACCCCUCAUGAAAAUGCUGACAGGUGCACUCCUACAACAUUCCGAGAGCAAUUAGUGUUCCACAUACACUAAUGAUGGCACUUCAUUGCCCUGCAGCUGGCUCCAAAUCUCCAUUCUCUCAGACAUGACAUCCUCCUGGUAUCAAUUCUCUCAGUUUGUGUUUUCCAUGAAAUAGACUCUGAGAUGGAGAUUUUUGUGCAAGGAGUUUGUCAGAGGAGCCCUCAGAAGCAAUAUCAACUGGGAGAUGAGGGUAUAGGUUUUGGUAAAGGAAAGAGUUACGGUGCAAAUCAGUGACAGUGCAGGCUGCAACCAAAUCCUCAGGACUUCCUGGGAUAGUACUUCACAGUUAUUUGCCUUCAGGCAAGGGAGGCAGAAUUUUAUUCACCCAUAACAACUACUCAUUGGAUGUGGACUACCUCAGGGGAAGGGGUAUGAUAUUACAUCAAACAGGUUUCUUCAGCUAAGGGAAAUUCUCAGAGAGGGAUCCAGGGAAGAGUCAACAACCCACCCAGCAGCUGGAAAAAUGAGUGCUUUGUGUAUAAAAGAGAGAGCUGGGCAUAGCAUUAAUUGCACUCUGACUGGACCCUGAGCUUCUUAAGUCAAUGAAUGUGACUUAUUCAUCUUUACACACUCCGAGCCUAAAACAAUGCCUGACAUUUAGUAGGAGAUUAACAACUUCCUGCUAAAUGAACAUAAUACUAGUAUUUAUUAACUGACUAGGACACUUGCUUAUUAAUCAAAGAUUUGAAACAGUUAUUUACCAUUUUUAUUUAAAUAGAAGAAAAUAUGAAGAGUUUUUCUUUGAGUUUAUUGAUACCAAAGCUAUUCACUCAUCCACUAUUCAUUAUCUGAACACAUACUUGUGGAGUUUUUUUAACAUGAAUAACACAUUGAGGCAAAUAAUUUCCUUUAAUAAAACAUCUAUUUUGGCCAUCUCAUUUUGUUAAAGAAAAUAGCUAGCUCCCCUUUUCUUUUUUUAUAGCCUCCUUUGAAAAGGCAGGAUGCAAAUUGGUGGUGUUUCCUGCCCUGUAGGUCUCCACUAGCCAUUAUCAUGAUAAUCUCUGCUCUUGAAUGGCUAACAUUUGUUGUAUAGAGGAAAAUGAUAAUUGUUGUAGUAGCCACUCCCAUUACACCUGUGUGUUUAGAAGCUUUAUCCUAUUUUGAGUCCAAUACAGACUAGAAAUAGGAACAAUAACAAUUUAAACUACAAUCCUUGGGGCACCUGCUGACUCAGUCAGUAGGGCAUGCAAUUCUUAAUCUCACAGUCCUGUGUUCAAGUCCCACAUUGGGCAUGGAGCCUCAUUUAAAAAAAUAAUAAAAUAAAAUAAAAAAGAUCCUCCUUUCUGACUUUUCAGUUGUAAUUCUUCAGUUGUAGCAUAUGCCGAUAUAAGUGUAUAAAUAAUGCGUUUCUUCCUAGAAAUGAAACUAUUUCGUAACCUUUUUUCUACAAAUUACAAUCAAAAUACUGCAAUAGUGGAUACUUGUUCACCUGUAUCUGUCUGAGAGAUCAGUGGCACAUCAUUGUCCUGACAAUUGGCUAGAAUUAUAUGAUGACUUUCAUCAAUCACCUUAUAGCAUUUGUCAUUGGUUUAUCACUCAGACUACCUAGAUUGAAAGAUAUGCCAUGCAGCUACUCAAAUAUAGAAAUUGUUUAAAAGUAGGUCUUAUUUUCCCUACUAUAAUAGACUAUUGUUUUAGUAAACAUAUAGUUUACUAACUCCCUAAAGUAGAUGGUUCCUAGAGCAAAUUCUGUUGAAAAGAAGCAAAAGUAUGAUAAUCUCAAUGCUUCUCUUCCACCAGAUUUCCUUAUCUUUCUCAAACAUGUUAAAAGAAGAAUUACCAAUCAGAGCCCCCUGGGUGGUUCAGUCGGUAAAGCCUCUGACUUUGGCCAGGUCAUGAUAUCACAGUUUGUGAGUUUGAGCCCCACAUCGAGCUCUGUUGGUGACAGCUCAGAGCUUGGAGCCUGCUUCAGAUUCUGUGUCUCCCUCUCUCUCUUCCCUACCCAGCUCUCAUUCUGUCU